rnacentral:rRNA from 1 species
UACGGGGGGAGCAAGCGUUUGUUCGGAUUUACUGGGCGUAAAGGGCGCGUAGGCGGCCACCGCAAGUCGACUGUGAAAUCUCCGGGCUUAACCCGGAAAGGUCAGCCGAUACUGCGGGGCUAGAGUGCAGAAGGGGCAACUGGAAUUCUCGGUGUAGCGGUGAAAUGCGUAGAUAUCGAGAGGAACACCUGCGGCGAAGGCGGGUUGCUGGGCUGACACUGACGCUGAGGCGCGAAAGCUAGGGGAGCGAACGGG